CCUACGGGUGGCUGCAGUGGGGAAUAUUGGGCAAUGGGCGCAAGCCUGACCCAGCAACGCCGCGUGAAGGAAGAAGGCUUUCGGGUUGUAAACUUCUUUUCUGGGGGACGAAGAAAGUGACGGUACCUCCGGAAUAAGCCACGGCUAACUACGUGCCAGCAGCCGCGGUAAUACGUAGGUGGCAAGCGUUAUACGGAUUUGUUGGGAGUAAAGGGCGUGUAGGCGGGAAAGCAAGUCAGAUGUGAAAACUCAGGGCUCAACCCUGAGCCUGCAUUUGAAACUGUUUGUCUUGAGUGCUGGAGAGGCAAUCGGAAUUCCGGGUGUAGCGGUGAAAUGCGUAGAGAUACGGAGGAACACCAGUGGCGAAGGCGGAUUGCUGGACAGUAACUGACGCUGAGGCGCGAAAGCGUGGGGAGCAAACAGGAUUAGAUACCCCUGUAGUC
rnacentral:rRNA from 1 species